rnacentral:rRNA from 1 species
GACGAACGCUGGCGGCGUGCCUAAUACAUGCAAGUUGAGCGCUGAAGGUUGGUACUUGUACCAACUGGAUGAGCAGCGAACGGGUGAGUAACGCGUGGGGAAUCUGCCUUUGAGCGGGGGACAACAUUUGGAAACGAAUGCUAAUACCGCAUAAAAACUUUAAACACAAGUUUUAAGUUUGUAAGAUGCAAUUGCAUCACUCAAAGAUGAUCCCGCGUUGUAUUAGCUAGUUGGUGAGGUAAAGGCUCACCAAGGCGAUGAUACAUAGCCGACCUGAGAGGGUGAUCGGCCACAUUGGGACUGAGACACGGCCCAAACUCCUACGGGAGGCAGCAGUAGGGAAUCUUCGGCAAUGGACGAAAGUCUGACCGAGCAACGCCGCGUGAGUGAAGAAGGGUGUCGGAUCGUAAAACUCUGUUGGUAGAGAAGAACGUUGGUGAGAGUGGAAAGCUCAUCAAGUGACGGUAACUACCCAGAAAGGGACGGCUAACUACGUG